UUCGGGAGCUUGCACAGGUGCUGCAUGGCUGUCGUCAGCUCGUGUCGUGAGAUGUUCGGUUAAGUCCGCUAACGAGCGCAACCCUCACUGUGUGUUAUAUGUGCCACACGGGACUGCCGGUUUUAAGCCGGAGGAAGGUGGGGAUGACGUCAAGUCAGCAUGGCCUUUAUAUCCUGGGCUACACACACGCUACAAUGGUCGGUACAAUAGGUUGCCAAGCCGCGAGGCGGAGCCAAUCCACAAAGCCGGCCUCAGUUCAGAUUGUAGGCUGCAACUCGCCUGCAUGAAGAUGGAGUUGCUAGUAACCGCAGGUCAGCAAUACUGCGGUGAAUACGUUCCCGGGUCUU
rnacentral:rRNA from 1 species